rnacentral:rRNA from 1 species
UACGGAAGGGUGCAAACGUUGCUCGGAAUUAUUGGGGCGUAAGCGCACGUAGGCGGCUUAGCAAGUCCCAUGUGAAAGGCCCACGGCCUCAACCGUUGGAAAGUGCAUGGGAAACUGCUGAGCUUGAGUACUUAAGAGGAUCGCGGAAAUUCCCGGUGUAGAGGUGAAAUUCGUAGAUAUCGGGAGGAACACCAGUGGCGAAGGC